GUGGAGUGAAGAGCUGCCAGCCCGAGCAGGUGACGCAGAUGGAUCCCGUUGGAGCCGAACCGCCCCGACAGAAAGGCUUCCCGUCUGAAGACAGCUGGUUCUACCCAAACUUUCAAGAUGUUUCCAGUUGGAGCCGUGGAGCCGAAACACAGAAGCUAGAUUCAUUCCUGAAACCAGCCUGGUUAAACCAAACCGACGAG